rnacentral:lncRNA from 1 species
CGGAAGCAGAUGCGCAAAGAAGCGGAAGUGAAAUUGAGGCGAGGAGGAGCAGGGAAUGGGCAAAUAGGUCCAUCUGCUCUGCUAAAAGGUAGCAGAAUAAACAUAUGUUUCUGUUACUCAAAGGAUACAAUAUCCGGUAUUGGGAAAGAUGGAAGUUCACAAUAGAUAGUUUAUCACAGGGAAAUGCAAAGCACAACUGGUGAAAAUAUAUUUAUGGACUGGUGAUUGGGAAUCACUACUUAGAAGAUAAAAAUACGAUCUUCAUUUCUAAUCACUUAUAACUGUUGAAUAUUUUUUUCUAUCUAGAACUUAUGUUUAAAUCUGUUUUAAAAGUUUCAAAUAAAACUGUAGUUUC